rnacentral:rRNA from 1 species
UACGUAGGGGGCAAGCGUUGUCCGGAAUCAUUGGGCGUAAAGGGCGCGUAGGCGGCGGGGUAAGUCGGGUGUGAAAUCUCAGAGCUCAACUCUGAAACUGCACUCGAUACUGCUCUGCUUGAGGACUGGAGAGGAGACUGGAAUUCACGGUGUAGCAGUGAAAUGCGUAGAUAUCGUGAGGAAGACCAGUGGCGAAGGCGGGUCUCUGGACAGUUCCUGACGCUGAGGCGCGAAGGCCAGGGGAGCAAACGGG